rnacentral:rRNA from 1 species
CCUGGUAGUGGGGGAUAACGUUCGGAAACGGACGCUAAUACCGCAUACGUCCUACGGGAGAAAGCAGGGGACCUUCGGGCCUUGCGCUAUCAGAUGAGCCUAGGUCGGAUUAGCUAGUUGGUGAGGUAAUGGCUCACCAAGGCGACGAUCCGUAACUGGUCUGAGAGGAUGAUCAGUCACACUGGAACUGGGACACGGUCCAGACUCCUACGGGAGGCAGCAGUGGGGAAUAUUGGUCAAUGGGCGAAAGCCUGA